CCUACGGGGGGCAGCAGUGGGGAAUAUUGGACAAUGGGCGCAAGCCUGAUCCAGCCAUGCCGCGUGAGUGAUGAAGGCCUUAGGGUUGUAAAGCUCUUUUGUCCGGGACGAUAAUGACGGUACCGGAAGAAUAAGCCCCGGCUAACUUCGUGCCAGCAGCCGCGGUAAUACGAAGGGGGCUAGCGUUGCUCGGAAUCACUGGGCGGAAAGGGCGCGUAGGCGGCCGAUUAAGUCGGGGGUGAAAGCCUGUGGCUCAACCACAGAAUUGCCUUCGAUACUGGUUGGCUUGAGACCGGAAGAGGACAGCGGAACUGCGAGUGUAGAGGUGAAAUUCGUAGAUAUUCGCAAGAACACCAGUGGCGAAGGCGGCUGUCUGGUCCGGUUCUGACGCUGAGGCGCGAAAGCGUGGGGAGCAAACAGGAUUAGAUACCCGGGUAGUC
rnacentral:rRNA from 1 species